UUACACAUGCAGUCGAACGGCAGCACGGGUGCCUGACUUUGGUGGCGAGUGGCGAACGGGUGAGUAAUACAUCGGAACAUGUCCUGUAGUGGGGGAUAGCCCGGCGAAAGCCGGAUUAAUACCGCAUACGAUCUACGGAUGAAAGCGGGGGACCUUCGGGCCUCGCGCUAUAGGGUUGGCCGAUGGCUGAUUAGCUAGUUGGUGGGGUAAAGGCCUACCAAGGCGACGAUCAGUAGCUGGUCUGAGAGGACGACCAGCCACACUGGGACUGAGACACGGCCCAGACUCCUACGGGAGGCAGCAGUGGGGAAUUUUGGACAAUGGGCGAAAGCCUGAUCCAGCAAUGCCGCGUGUGUAAAGAAGGCCUUCGGGUUGAAAAGCACUUUUGUCCGGAAAGAAAUCCUUGGCUCUAAUACAGUCGGGGGAUGACGGUACCGGAAGAAUAAGCACCGGCUAACUACGUGCCAGCA
rnacentral:rRNA from 1 species